AGUCGAGGGGCAGCAUGGUCUUAGCUUGCUAAGGCCGAUGGCGACCGGCGCACGGGUGAGUAACACGUAUCCAACCUGCCGUCUACUCUUGGACAGCCUUCUGAAAGGAAGAUUAAUACAAGAUGGCAUCAUGAGUCCGCAUGUUCACAUGAUUAAAGGUAUUCCGGUAGACGAUGGGGAUGCGUUCCAUUAGAUAGUAGGCGGGGUAACGGCCCACCUAGUCUUCGAUGGAUAGGGGUUCUGAGAGGAAGGUCCCCCACAUUGGAACUGAGACACGGUCCAAACUCCUACGGGAGGCAGCAGUGAGGAAUAUUGGUCAAUGGGCGAGAGCCUGAACCAGCCAAGUAGCGUGAAGGAUGACUGCCCUAUGGGUUGUAAACUUCUUUUAUAAAGGAAUAAAGUCGGGUAUGGAUACCCGUUUGCAUGUACUUUAUGAAUAAGGAUCGGCUAACUCCGUGCCAGCAGCCGCGGUAAUACGGAGGAUCCGAGCGUUAUCCGGAUUUAUUGGGUUUAAAGGGAGCGUAGAUGGAUGUUUAAGUCAGUUGUGAAAGUUUGCGGCUCAACCGUAAAAUUGCAGUUGAUACUGGAUAUCUUGAGUGCAGUUGAGGCAGGCGGAAUUCGUGGUGUAGCGGUGAAAUGCUUAGAUAUCACGAAGAACUCCGAUUGCGAAGGCAGCCUGCUAAGCUGCAACUGACAUUGAGGCUCGAAAGUGUGGGUAUC
rnacentral:rRNA from 1 species